UACAGAGGGUGCAAGCGUUAAUCGGAAUUACUGGGCGUAAAGGGUGCGUAGGUGGUGAAUUAAGUUAUCUGUGAAAUCCCUGGGCUCAACCUGGGCAGGUCAGAUAAUACUGUUUUACUCGAGUAUGGGAGAGGGUAGUGGAAUUUCCGGUGUAGCGGUGAAAUGCGUAGAGAUCGGAAGGAACACCAGUGGCGAAGGCGGCUACCUGGCCCAAUACUGACACUGAGGCACGAAAGCGUGGGGAGCAAACAGGAUUAGAAACCCCUGUAGU
rnacentral:rRNA from 1 species